rnacentral:rRNA from 1 species
GACGUAGGGUGCAAGCGUUGUCCGGAAUUAUUGGGCGUAAAGAGCUCGUAGGCGGUUUGUUGCGUCGGCUGUGAAAUCCCGAGGCUCAACCUCGGGUCUGCAGUCGAUACGAGCAAACUAGAGUGUUGCAGGGGAGACUGGAAUUCCUGGUGUAGCGGUGAAAUGCGCAGAUAUCAGGAGGAACACCGGGGGCGAAGGCGGGUCUCUGGGCAACAACUGACGCUGAGGAGCGAAAGCGUGGGGAGCGAACAGG